UACGUAGGGUGCAAGCGUUGUCCGGAAUUAUUGGGCGUAAAGAGCUCGUAGGCGGUUUGUCGCGUCUGGUGUGAAAAUCCAGGGCUUAACCCUGGACCUGCAUCGGGUACGGGCAGACUAGAGUGCGGUAGGGGAGAUCGGAAUUCCUGGUGUAGCGGUGAAAUGCGCAGAUAUCAGGAGGAACACCGGUGGCGAAGGCGGAUCUCUGGGCCGUAACUGACGCUGAGGAGCGAAAGCGUGGGUAGCAAACAGG
rnacentral:rRNA from 1 species